ACUUUAGGGGGAUACUUUAAUCGAUGGCAAAACAGUAUCCCCGGAUACUUUUAUGAUGGGCAAAAAGUAUCCGGAUACUUUUUUGAUGGGAGAUACAAAUUUGAUAUGACACCGGGAUUUAUCUAAUCUAUUCAUUAUCAUUCACUGUUGUUAUUUUUGAGCACUUGUUCCUUUACGGAUUCAUAUCUAAAGGAAGCAAUGGGGACGGCCAUGGAUACCAUCUUUGUUGUGAUUGGAACCCUGCUAGCGGCCAUAUGUCUAAGGAAAGUGUUUGUUGUGAUACAGAAAUACAAAGUUAAUAUUCACUUAUAUAACGAGAAGAAAAUCCAACCUGUCGGAAAGUUCCAUCCAAUAUGGGGACAUCUUUACCUGUUUUCAGAUUUUGACCGUCUCGUAGAUCUCUGUGGCGAAGUGGUGGCACAAACAAAAGGUCGUAUCGUGUCUUACUGGAUAAUGGGUUUCUAUCCCGUACUUAACGCUUGUCACACUACCACUGCUAAAGUGGUUAUGAAAUCUUCGGAACCUAAACCAAAGCACCUAGGUGGAGGAUACAGGAAUCUUAUUGACUG